UACGUAGGGCGCAAGCGUUGUCCGGAAUUAUUGGGCGUAAAGGGCUCGUAGGCGGCCAACUAAGUCAGACGUGAAAUCCCUCAGCUUAACUGGGGAACUGCGUCUGAUACUGGAUGGCUUGGAUUUGGGAGAGGAAUGCGGAAUUCCAGGUGUAGCGGUGAAAUGCGUAGAUAUCUGGAGGAACACCGGUGGCGAAGGCGGCAUUCUGGACCAAUAUUGACGCUGAGGAGCGAAAGCCAGGGGAGCAAAGCGGG
rnacentral:rRNA from 1 species